ensembl:snRNA U7 U7 small nuclear RNA
UAUUGUUAGAGCUCUUUUGGAAUUUGUCUAACAGGUUUUCCAGUUUCCAGCAGAAAACCCCA